rnacentral:rRNA from 1 species
GAUGAACGCUGGCGGCGUGCCUAAUACAUGCAAGUCGAGCGAACAGACGAGGAGCUUGCUCCUCUGACGUUAGCGGCGGACGGGUGAGUAACACGUGGAUAACCUACCUAUAAGACUGGGAUAACUUCGGGAAACCGGAGCUAAUACCGGAUAAUAUAUUGAACCGCAUGGUUCAAUAGUGAAAGACGGUUUUGCUGUCACUUAUAGAUGGAUCCGCGCCGCAUUAGCUAGUUGGUAAGGUAACGGCUUACCAAGGCAACGAUGCGUAGCCGACCUGAGAGGGUGAUCGGCCACACUGGAACUGAGACACGGUCCAGACUCCUACGGGAGGCAGCAGUAGGGAAUCUGCCGCAAUGGGCGAAAGCUUGACGGAGCAACGCCGCGUGAGUGAUGAAGGUCUUCGGAUCGUAAAACUCUGUUAUUAGGGAAGAACAACUGUGUAAGUAACUAUGCACGUCUUGACGGUACCUAAUCAGAAAGCCACGGCUAACUACGUG